CAGUCACAGUGUUCUCUUCUUUCGGCUGCCGAAGCCCCGAGCGGCGCACCUGGCAGCGCACAGCUCCUCAACGCGGGUCAGCGGCCCCGCGCCGCCUGCCCCGCCGCGGGCUCCCGGGCGCCGCGUCCGCCCGGCGCUACGCCUCCGCCGCUCCCCGCCUACCAGGAGGGCGCUCGCCGGCCGGCGAGGAAGAGCCGCCCCUUCGGUGACCGGCAAGUCAAACCCACCGGCCCCCCCAAGCGGAAAGCAACAUGGCCACCCCCACCGCACCACAUGCGCCAAGCGCGGCGAAGAGCCUCCCGCCGGGCAGCCGGGCCGGGCCGCCGCCGCUCGGGGCUGCUCCUCCUCGCCGCACCUUCCGGCCCCGCCGUCCCCCCGCCCGCCGCAGCGCCGCGGGGGCGGCCAGGUCGGGCCGAGCAACGGGGCCGCGGGCGGGGCGCGACACAAUGGGCGCCGCGCGGCAGCCAGCGCCGCCGGCCCGCAGGCCUCGCUCCCUCCCGCCCGCCCGGGUCCGCCGCCGGCCCGGCCCAGGGCCCCCCACGGCGACGCCAGCCCGGCCCUCAGGCGGCCGCCCGCCCCUCCCCCCCGCUCCGGCCGGCGCCUCCUGCUCCCCCUCCCCCCGCUCCGUCCCCCUGCGUGCGUGCGCUCCUCGCCGGCCUCAUCUCGCCUCGCUGCCCGCGCCCCAGCACCCAUCCGCCCCCCGUCCGGCCAGGCGCCCACCGCCACCAGGAGGGCCACAGCCCGAGGAGGAGGAGGCGGCAGCGGCGACAGGGGUCAGGACAGUAUUGCUCAUCUCAUGACAGAAAGGAAGUAAGAAGUUACGUUCCUGAGAACAGAGGAAGUUAAAAGGAGCAGCAGAUGACAUUUGAGCAGAAGACACUGGACUAGACCAAACACUAUGCUUCAGGUUUUUCACACCAUGACAGUGACACCAAGUACUUGUAAACCCUACUUAACGAGGAAGAAAAUCAGCAUCCUUCCUGUGGUAACGCCACCGCGACUCUGCAGCCUCUGCAGCCUGUUGGUCUAAUUUCAGUUACUGCCUUACUGAAUAUUGAAUUUACGAGGGGUCCACCACCCCCACCCCCAACCAAGUGCCAAAACCUGAGCAAAAGCAUUCUGAUAAACUACACAGGCGGCCCUACACACCGACACUCCACCCUGAAAUAAAGAUAUGUCUUGAAAAAACUGA